UGUGGUGUAGAUUCAGUGGAAAAGGAGCAGAGAUAGUAGUGAAGUGCAGAAGCAUUCUCAGCUGCUAGAAGUUUGGAGGAAGGACAUAAGUAACAUCAGUCAUUGUAUGCCACCCUGGGAUCUUCUACAGAUUCUGAAGGGGAUACAGGCAUCUGGAGCUGUAGAGAACCAGAGCCACUGACCUACACUGUGGAAAGGGAGAUGCAACCAUACCACACCUGUCUGGAGCUGCCC